GACGAACGCUGGCGGCGUGCUUAACACAUGCAAGUCGAGCGGUAAGGCCCUUUCGGGGGUACACGAGCGGCGAACGGGUGAGUAACACGUGGGUGACCUGCCCUCAGCUCUGGGAUAAGCCUGGGAAACUGGGUCUAAUACUGGAUAUGACUCCACGGUGCAUGUCGUGGGGUGGAAAGCCUUGUGCGGCUGAGGAUGGGCCCGCGGCCUAUCAGCUUGUUGGUGGGGUGANGGCCUACCAAGGCGACGACGGGUAGCCGGCCUGAGAGGGCGACCGGCCACACUGGGACUGAGACACGGCCCAGACUCCUACGGGAGGCAGCAGUGGGGGAAUCUUGCGCAAUGGGCGAAAGCCUGACGCAGCGACGCCGCGUGAGGGAUGACGGCC
rnacentral:rRNA from 1 species